UGAAACCACUUUUUAGCAAAGUGUUGCCACAUGUUUUUUCUUUAAAACAACCACCGUUUUCUUUAAUAAUUUAAAGGAAUUAUACAAUAUGGCACUACGAAUGAUAUACUAAAGCAAAAGUAGAAAAAAGAAAAACAAACCAAAAGUUGUCAAAGCAUACAAAAUGGGAAAACACAGAAGUUCGGAGCAGGAAAAAAUUUUUAUAGAUUUUAUGGAGAGCCACCAGGACCUAGCCAGAGGAUAUGUGAAAGGUGAUAGAGUUGUUGCUGUAGCAUAUUGGUCACAACUUACCGAAAAACUGAAUUCUUCAGGACCACCCACCAAGGAUUGCAAUGGCUGGAAAAAGACGUGGGCAGACUGGAAAGUGUACAUUAAAAAAAAAUGUGCCACAACAAAAAGAGAAUGCAAAAACUGGGGGUGGUCCUUAUAACCAGUGGUGCUCAAAACCGUGUUCUAGAACAUGAAGAGAAAAAAGAGAUAAUUUAAGAGAAAAUUAAAACUCUAUUUUUCUUUAUAUUUUACAGUUCUAUUUAAUUGUUUUUAAACAAGAAUGUUUGCCAAAAUAAUAAGUAAAGCAAAUGGAUAAAAAUAUUUGUGUAAAUAA